UUGAAGCUCCUCCACCGAUAGUAUUUGAAUCGGCCUUCACUCGUGCUAAGGCCAAGAAGGCCGCCAGAGUUCCACCGGAAACAUUAACUCAUCUCAUCUCCUGAUCGCCUUUAAUAUUACCGAUACCUCCAAACACUCACCCCAUUUUUUUGGAAAUUAUUUUUAUCGUGAUUACAAGUGAAAAGUGUUGUACCUCACACGGAUUAUCAACUUGCCCGAGUUAUAACUAAAAUUACAUCAGUUGUGGUGCUCCCAAAUUGUUCUCAAUACACCACCCACACUUUAUUGUUUUGUGGUUGCUGAAAAAAAUAUAAAAAUACCAAUAUAUAUCUAUAUAUAUGGACUAUCUAGAGAAGAGGAGUAACGUGAGGUGAAUUUGAUACGCGGCAGGUUUGAAAAGUUUCGCAAGUGAUCAAUGGUUCGUGUUUGUUUUAUGUGAGAGGAUACAACAACACCAGGCCUAAGGGUCUUUAGUUUUGUUUCUUACUUGCGAAGCUUAAUUUUCCUGUACUGAAUAGGAGCUUAUUUUCCUGCUCAUGAGAGCUGCGGUCGCGGUAUGAUGAGCGGUUACGCUGACAAUUUAUCCGUAAUUGACACUCCGGCGUCAAGGAGACACUAGUGGUAUUGUAUUGAAGAGUGAAGAUGAAAGUAAAGAUGGAUGCAAGAAACAAAAUGAGAAUAAAAAUAAAAGUGUGGUUUUAAGCGGCGAGACUUGGGCUAGUAAGGCUACUCCUUAUCCCUCAGUGAUUUAAAUAUGUCGAGUAGCAAGGGUGGCCAAAGAUCGGAGUCGACUCUCUGUCUCGAGUCGAGUAGGAUGACCAGAUCCAGCAAGUGGCACUGGAGCUCCUGCCAUCGGGUUCGAUCUCGAGGAUUCGGAUCCAUUUCAAAUGCACGACCAGCCGGCGCCGGAAAUCUUUCGAGAUUUAUAUGCAUCUCGUUAACCCUCUAUAUAAUAUUGUAAUGCAAUAUAAUGCUAUACAUACGAUUUCUGAUUUUAUUUUGCUUAUAAAUAAAUAAAAUUCGAGGGAUCAAAUCAAACUGUGGUCAAACGAUGAGCUUUUUUACGGUAAUAGAUCAUUUUUAAGUCUGAAUAUUGACA